rnacentral:ncRNA from 1 species
GAUAAUAAACUAAUAUUUCCAGAAGAAUUCACAUCGAUGGGAAGAUUUUGCACCUAGAUGUUAGCUAUUCACCGCUUGGGCCCGAGCUUUUGGAACGUACUGCCCCAAGGAAUGGGCUAUUCGAAUGGGCUAUUCGACCAUUAAAGUGGUACAUGAGUUGGGUUCAAAACAUCGUGAGGCAGUUU